UAGGGAAUAUUGGUCAAUGGGUGAGAGCCUGAACCAGCCAUGCCGCGUGCAGGAAGAAGGCCUUCUGGGUUGUAAACUGCUUUUGCCGGGGGAUAAAAUUCCCAUGCGUGGGACAUUGAAGGUACCCGGUGAAUAAGCCACGGCUAACUACGUGCCAGCAGCCGCGGUAAUACGUAGGUGGCAGGCGUUGUCCGGAUUUAUUGGGUUUAAAGGGUGCGUAGGCGGCCUAUUAAGUCAGUUCUGAAAUAUCCCGGCUUAACCGGGAGGUGGGAUUGAUACUGAUGGGCUUGAGUGGACUCGAGGUAGGCGGAAUUGACGGUGUAGCGGUGAAAUGCUUAGAUAUCGUCAAGAACACCGAUAGUGUAGACAGCUUACUAGAUUUCAACUGACGCUGAGGCACGAAAGUGUGGGGAUCAAACAGGAUUAGAUACCCUGGUAGUCCACACUGUAAACGUUGAUUACUCGCUGUGUGCGAUAUACAGUACGCGGCUUAGCGAAA
rnacentral:rRNA from 1 species